GAGAAGUUGGCUCAGUGGUAGAGUGCUUGCCUCACAAGCAUGAGGCCCUGGGCUUGAUUCCUCA
rnacentral:tRNA from 1 species